AAAUUGAAGAGUUUGAUCAUGGCUCAGAUUGAACGCUGGCGGCAGGCCUAACACAUGCAAGUCGAGCGGCAGCGGAAAGUAGCUUGCUACUUUGCCGGCGAGCGGCGGACGGGUGAGUAAUGUCUGGGAAACUGCCUGAUGGAGGGGGAUAACUACUGGAAACGGUAGCUAAUACCGCAUAAUGUCGCAAGACCAAAGAGGGGGACCUUCGGGCCUCUUGCCAUCAGAUGUGCCCAGAUG
rnacentral:rRNA from 1 species